GCCCCGGUGGCGGAAUCGGUAGACGCAGCGGACUUAAAAUCCGCCGACUAUUAACGGUCUUGCGGGUUCGAGUCCCGCCCGGGGCA
rnacentral:tRNA from 2 species